rnacentral:rRNA from 1 species
GAAGGGGGAUGCAAGCGUUAUCCGGAAUCACUGGGCGUAAAGCGUCUGCAGGUGGGGAUGCAAGUCUCUGGUGCAAAACUCUGGCUCAACCGGAGGAAAGCCAGUGAAACUGCAUGACUAGAGUGUGGGAGAGGUAGAAGGAAUUCCCUGAGUAGCGGUGAAAUGCGUAGAUACAGGGAAGAACACCGGAGGCGUAAGCUUUCUACUGGAACGCAACUGACACUGAGACACGAAAGCUCCGCGAGCGAAUUUC